rnacentral:rRNA from 1 species
GACGAACGCUGGCGGCGUGCUUUAUACAUGCAAGUCGAACGAUGAAGUUCCUUCGGGAAUGGAUUAGUGGCGAACGGGUGAGGAACACGUGGGCAACCUGCCCCAGACUCUGGGAUAACUUCUCGAAAGAGACGCUAAUACCGGAUACGAACUCUGUAGGCAUCUACGGAGUUGGAAAGUUUUUCGGUCUGGGAUGGGCCCGCGGCCUAUCAGCUAGUUGGUGAGGUAGUGGCUCACCAAGGCGACGACGGGUAGCCGGCCUGAGAGGGUGGUCGGCCGCACUGGGACUGAGACACUGCCCAGACUCCUACGGGAGGCUGCAGUCGAGAAUCUUCCGCAAUGGGCGCAAGCCUGACGGAGCGACGCCGCGUGGAGGACGAAGGCCCUCGGGUUGUAAACUCCUGUCACGGGUUAUGAACGCCGUAGUGUUAAUAGCGCUACGGUUGACGUAAGCCCGAGAGGAAGCACUGGCUAACUCUGUGCCAGCAGCCGCGGUAAUACAGAGAGUGCAAACGUUGUUCGGAAUUACUGGGCUUAAAGCGCACGUAGGCGGCGAAGUAAGUGUGAGGUGAAAGCCCACGGCUCACCCGUGGAAUUGCCUUGCAUACUGCUUUGCUAGAGUAUGGUAGGGGAGAGCGGAACUCCUGGUGGAGCGGUGAAAUGCGUAGAUAUCAGGAGGAACACCGGUGGCGAAGGCGGCUCUCUGGUCCAUAACUGACGCUGAGGUGCGAAAGCUAGGGUAGCAAACGGGAUUAGAUACCCCGGUAGUCCUAGCCGUAAACGAUGGGUACUAGCUUGGGGUCUCCCUGUGUGAUCCCAGGUGAAGCAAAAGUGAUAAGUACCCCGCCUGGGGAGUAUGGUCGCAAGGCUG